GGAGAGGUGGCCGAGUGGCUGAAGGCGCACGCCUGGAAAGCGUGUGUAUCUGAAAGGGUACCGUGGGUUCGAAUCCCACCCUCUCCG
rnacentral:tRNA from 1 species